AUUGUGAAUUUGCUGUAUUGGAAAAGCACACACUCAUAAAUACAGACAUUGAGAGAAAAAUUCAAAUAGAGACAGUAGAUAUUUCACUUUAUCAUAUGUGGUUUCUUUUCACUUUGAGUUUUAUUACAAUUUUUCAAUGUUCACAUCAAGCCUUUGGUGUUGCUCAGUUCUUAGAGUUUUUCAGUUUUUAGAGAGAACUUUGUUUAAAUAAAAUGUAAGUUUAUGAUAUUUGGUUUGGUUUAUAAAUUAGAAAAACACUGGUCUUCCAAUCAUUGUAAUAUGUUGAAUUUAAACUAUGAAAGGGGACUGAUCCCUUUUACAUUAAACAUGACAAUGUAAUUCUGAGCACGGUAUGCUAACAGAUGGAGAAAAGCACCACUUGAACAGCCUGCAUUUGGAGAAAAAAAUAUUCUAGAGGUUGGUGAACCUCCCAAAGUUUUGGGUUAGUGUUAAGAUGCCUCUGGUUCUGUUAAAAUCAAACCUUGUUUAAAACAUUUUGUUAUGAUAAUAUUCCAAAUGAUUUGACAUCUUCGCUUUUAAACAAUAAAAGAAAGAGGAAAGAAAGAGAGAGAAAGCAAAGAAAGAAAAUAAAUUAUUUAUACAUGUAUGGUAUCUAGAAAAAAAAUCCUAAUAGAUGAAACACAUUUAUGAGAAAAAAAAUUGCUUAAUAUUGCAGAAUAAUAACUGUCCUUUUAAUGCUUAUUUAAAGUAUUGUCAUUGUAGAACUGAGAAUGUACUGUUAGCGUAAUGCCUGUGGUUAUUUAAUCUUAGAAGUUUCAGAAUUUAGCUUCAUCAUGGUAAUGUUAAUAGUUUUUCUUUUCUGUCAGACUUCUAUUCAGAACCAACCAUUUGUGUGCUAAGCACUGCUAAACCUCAGAAAUAGGACAGCUUUUAAUGUCUCAGCGUGGCUGAGCUUCAGUAAAUAAAUAUUAAUGCUGGUUUUGCCCCUUUUGCCAUUCUGUCUUAUUCAGAGUUAAUUUCUGAAGUCAAAGUCCAUAGAGAGUUUCCCUGUGUAAUAUCAAUUUGUACUGUUUGACAAGAUCAAUUUCUUGCAAGUAGAGCAUAUUAAGAUGCAGCAACUGCUGAAAAUGAACGAGUGGUAACUAAUUCCUUUGUUCUUAAGAAAAACGGUUUUGCUUGGUUCUGUAGAAAGCUUUUUUUGUUGAGCUUUAUUUAAACCAAUUCUACAAAAAUUUAAACGUAGUUUUACAGGAAAUAAAAAUUAUUUUCUAAGUGCAGUACUCUUUUGUAAGCAUUUUAUGCUUAGUCUAUGUUCAUGUUUUAUAAAAUCCACAUUCAUAAAUUUAAAGAUGACAAUUAGAAUGCAAGGAAAUAUGUAUAUCUCUCCUUUGCACCGACAGUGUGACUUGGUUGUUGGACUAUUUCUGAUAUACAGUACUCUUUUGUGUGUGUGUGUGUGUGUGUGUGUAUGUGUGUGUCGCAUUUUUAUGCAUCUGUGUGUGACUGUAAGUGAUGUUAAAACUGAGUGUUCUUCAUUUGUUUAUGUUCGUAUCACACAAAUUAUCCAAAAGAAGGCUACUAGUGUGUUUUUGAAAUGCAGUUUACUAAGAGUGAAGAGUUCCUUCACGGUGAUUUAAGCAGCCUCUGUUAAACUAGCAUCUUGCAAAUGCUUCUUUCUUUUAUGUAGCAAAUCAGACCAUGGAAGUGAUCAAAUUACCAGUACUCUUUCACUGCUUUUCAGAAGCAGGGAUCCAGGUGACCAAACUACUGUCAAGCACAGAUCACACUAAAGGGAAAAAAUAUCCAGAAAAGCAUUAACAAACUUGCUGGGUAAACGUAAGCAAUAUUUUUGACAUUUUCUCCACAUGAAGAGAAAUUAUUUAGAAAUGAGGUUUUAGGAAGAUGAAAAAGAAAACACCUCUUAGAAUUUAUAUUUUGAGUUUAAAAUCCAUGUGUUAAAUUACAGCAUAUAUUACAUGAGAAUGAUUUAUAUGACACUGGGUAUUUUGAAGGUCAGCAAUAAAAUUGAAAUUAUAGCUAAGAAGUGUGUCUCUGCACUUAGAUUUUAAGCUAUCUUUUUUGUUUUUGUUUUUAAUUUAGCCUCACAAUUUUAAAAAAUAUGUCUGAAAAACUGCUUUGAUAAAAUCCUUUUUAUAAAUUAUAAAUGUUUAAUCAGUCAGAACUUUAAGAUUUAAAUUUUAAAUUCCAUGUUUUCUGCACUGCCUUUGUUAAUAAAAUUGACAUUCAGUUUUUAUAUCAAGAAAAAAGAUUUAAUUUUUACUUUUUCUAAAAAGAAUUUAGAAAAUUUUACAGACUUGAACAAUUUUACUUAAUACAAGCAUCUGCCAUAAGAUUAAAUCUUGGGGUAAUCCUUCAAAAUAUAAAAGCAGCCUUAUGAGUGAAGUGCCAUUUAGGUUCACAUUUAAGGGCUCAUUUGUAAUAGUGUUUCUUUUUUGCCAUACAUUUUCUCCUAAAAAAUUAUCCUCCAUUUUCUUAUAAGAAAUUAGAAUUGAGUCAUUGGUUUGCCCUUUUCCUAAAGAAUAUGGUGCCUGAAAUACUGGUAAAUAAUUCAACAUGAAGUGAUUUCAUGUCUGAUUUGUGAAGAAAGGGUAAAUACUUGGUAGCUAUACAUGCCACAAAAUAAAUUCAAUCGAGAGUCUAAUUUUCACCUAAUUUCUAUGAGUUUAUUUUUUUCACAGAACUAGACUAUUGCUACUACUUAUGUUUCUUUAGAUAGAUUAUGUAUUUGUUUGGCAGCAUAUAUUUGAACAUUAUUGAAACAACUUUAUUGUUUAAAUGAUGGGGUUUUAAAUAUACAUGAAUUGAUUUGUGUAUUAUGGGUUAAGUUUUUCAAAGCAGUAAUGGAGCUGUGUGUUAAUAUGUAGCUUAUAAUUGAAAUGGUACAUAUUUGUACAUUUUAAGCCUUUCAGUGUAAAAUUUCUUAAUUGGAAUACUCUCUCCCUUGGCUAAUUCAUUAGUGAAAAUAUUUAUUCCUCAAGUUAAUGCUAUAUAGUAUGAUGCAAUUUUUACGUAGUGUAAACUUGUUUAUGAUAUUUUGAUUUCACUUUAAAACUUUUAUUUUGCUUCUUAUACAUAUAGUUCAUACUCAAUAUAAUGAGAAGUGCAGACACACAUGAAGAAAAUACGUAUCAGCUGUCUGGUUUUACAAAUGAUCGUUGAAACACCAUGUCUUACUACUUUGACUCCAAAUUAUUGUCUUUCUGAACCCAAAAGUAAUUUUCACAAGUACAUUACACAACAGAACUUCAUCUUCUGCUGGUUAGCAGUAGAGGAUUUAAAUCCAUGCCGACAGUUCAUUUGACAAUGACCUUGAGGGGCUUUGCUUCUUGAAGAAGAAAGCAGAAGCUUGCGGUAAACAAAGUUCACUUCUGACAGAUGGAUUGAAUGACAGAAAGGUUGCGAGUGCCAGAAUAGCCCUGGCAGAGGAGGAAAUGUUCAGUGGAAUCCAACAGGAGAGGAGGUGUGAACAGGUGCAGGGUUGCUGACGGAAGGGGAACCAGAUGGAAGGAGCCAGAGCCAGUUUAUUUAAAGGAAAAGGCAGAAAACAUUGAAAGGCUGUGCGAUCAGUGGCUAAAAGUGUUCAUAGAGGAAGGUAAAAAUUCACAAAGCAAAACUGCACAGUGGGGUAGCUAACACUUAGCAUAAUGGUAGUAAUUUGUGAGUUUAGUUUGGAAGUUGCAAUUGAAAUACAUUCAUCUUGGCUCUUGACACCUUCAAGUAUAGAUAUUUGAAAGUUGUUUAUUUUUUAAGUUUCUAAGCUUUUUUAAUCCAUCCAUUAAUUUAAUUUUUUCCAGCCAGAAGCUCCAUUAUGAUAAUACUAAAAUUGUGUCGUCAGCUAGGAAAAGAAAAAAAUUUAAAGUGAAGGUUAACGUUCCAUUCAAAUUUAUCUUGUGAUGCCUCAGUUUUGUUCACAUAUGGGAAGCAAAUGCAUGCGCUGUUGGGUGACAUCUGUAAUAUCUAAGAAAUUUGCAAUGUUAGAAUCGAUGCUGUUGGUUGCUUUUGUUGUUUUGGAUCUCUGUGCAUUUUGUGAAGUCCGGUUUGAUUGUUUCAGUAGGAAUAAGGCUUUUUAAAAUACAAUUUGCCUGCCACGAUCUGCAGGUUAAUUUCUGCUGCUGAGGUUGACCUGAUUUUCAUUGACUUUCAGUGACCUGCCUUUGGGCAGACACCUGCAAACUCAAGUACAUUUUACAAAAAGAACAGUAUACAUACAGUUGAGCAAGAAAUGAGGACUUUCUUGUUUUCUAAGACCUAUUAAAGUGUAACUUUCUCUUCUGCAAACCAAAGAUAUCCUUGCUGAUACUCUGUGUGUCACUUCUCACAUGCCACUUACGUGGGGCCUUGUCUACCACCGUUUUCCUUAAAAAUUGUACUACAUUACAUUUCUGACAAAGAGACGCCAACAGAGGAGGAGCUAUUAAGAAGCUAUCACCAGGAAAGAUUAUGAAGAUGCACAAUUAUUUUGAGGUUUUAAAGAUCUCGUAAAUAAUCCACAAAAGUAUCUGCACGCUGUUCACAAAGAUGAAACACACGAAGUAAAUGAGUACUGUAUUCGUAUUCCUUGUCUCAGAACUGCCUGGAUCAAAUAGAUUGCACUUGAUUAAGGCUGGAUGUUUUGGGAUGUUUUGAGUUUAGAGAUAAUAUCUGUGAUCCAUAGCUUGGUUUUGUCAGUAAAUAUAAAGAAUUGAAAUUUGAUUAGCAGCUAUAGAAGAUGUUUAUUUAUUCCUGUGCUGUAAAUGAAGAUCAUCAAUUUUGAUCAUCUUUUUUUAAUCUGGGUGAGGCAAUAUACAACGAUAUUUUGAAGGAAAAUGCUAAGUGAUUUCUUUUAAUAAAAGGAAGUUGAUGACCUGUAUUUUAAAAUCAUCUGCAAAAUGUAUGUUUUUUUCUCCCACUUGUUAAGAAAUUUUUAUCUAAUAACUUAAUCUAAAAUUUUAUAUAAAAUUGGAGUAUACUUGCUUUGAUUAUAGUAUACUGAUUUUGCCAUCUCUUCCAUCAUAGUUACUGAAUUUACUUAUAUAAUAAUGCUACUAGCAUGGUGCUGCUGUGUAAAAUAAUAACAUAAAACUCACCUGAACUAUGGGAUUCAAACUGAAAUACAGUAAAGAGAAACUGCAGCAAUCAGUCAUCAUUUGACAGUCAUGCCACAAAUUGGAUUGCAAGCUUUUUAUAAGUAGAACCAGUAGCUUCCCAGAAAUAUGUAACUUUAGUUGUACCUAGUAAAGUGUCUCAUGUUACAUGAGUUUUUAAUUUUCUUGAAUGAAGGGAUAACAAGUUGAUUGCUGUUAAGCAGGUAUUCAUUCAAAAUUUAUUGAGCACAUGUUCUGUUCUAGCUACACUAGGUACUAUGUGAAUUUUCAAAAUAAAGAGCCUGUGAUUUUUUUUUAACAAAUAUCCUACAACCUGCCAGACAAGGUUUAUGUAAUUACAUAUACACACACGUGUGUGUGUGUAAAAUCUAGAAACUAGUAUGUAAAUUUGUAAACUUUCUGUGACUUACGAUCAUGUUAAAUGAAUUAAUGAAACUCUCCAUCUAGUCCAACACUUACAUGUGUGAGAAUGGAGAUGCAGAGAAGCUAAGUGAUGUGCCUAGUGCCAACAGAGGUUGAGUGACAGCAAAAGUAGAGUCUGAAUUUCCUUUCUCUAAGUCUGGUGCUCUUCCUGCAUCCCAUGUUAUACUUCUUUGUACUCACUGAUGAUAUGACUUGUCUGAGAAACCCCAUUAAAAUCCUUCAGUGCAAGCCUUUCACAGCCUGUUUUGGAAAGGAAAAAAAAAUUAUUUUUGGAUUUUGGCACACAGUUGCUGGUUCUUGAAACAAACAAACCACAAAGGUUCUUUAGCUUACAAACAGUAAUUACCAAAUUCACUUCUUGGAACUUUUUAUUUUUUUAACAAGAGUCUCACUCGCUUUGUUGCCCACGUUAGAGUGCAGUGGAGCGAUCUCAGCUUACUGCAACC